rnacentral:rRNA from 1 species
GACGGAGGGUGCGAGCGUUGUCCGGAAUCACUGGGCGUAAAGGGUGAGUAGGUGGCUUGUUAAGCGUGUGGUGAAAGCCUGGGGCUCAACCCCAGGUCUGCCAUGCGAACUGACAAGCUUGAGCAAAGUAGAGGCGAGUGGAAUUUCGGGUGUAGCGGUGGAAUGCGUAGAUAUCCGAAAGAACACCGGUGGCGAAGGCGGAACUUCCUGGACCCGGUAUUGACGCUGAUGCGCGAAAGCUAGGGGAGCAAACGGGGAUUAAG